rnacentral:antisense_RNA from 1 species
CUUGAUCGAACCCAGCAGCAGCGGCCGCCCUUCCGGCCUCCCCUGCCCGUACGUCGCCAGCAGCGCCUGCGCCUC